rnacentral:lncRNA from 1 species
UAUUCAGAGGGUCGUUCAACUAGGUUCCAUACCUUGUUUCUAGUAAAUUGGUUUAAUUCUUCUUGCAUUGCAUUUAUCUAAUUUACAUCUUUUUCAGCUUCUUCUAUGUGUUUGAGUUCAAAAUGUGAGACAAAAGCUAGAUGAUUAUUUAAGUUCCUAAGAGAUGCUCUAGUCCUAACAGGUUGAGAUGGAUCAUCUAAAAUUAAUUCCUUAGGAUGCCCGUGAGCAAACCUCCACGCCUUAGUCAGCCCAUGAUCCACAAUAGCCUCUUGGCUUGAUGAUGCAUCUCCAAUUAAUUUUUGAUUAUCAUCUUGUAACGUCAUCUCAUCUAUCUUUUCUUCAAGAAUUUCAGCAUCAUCAUCAAGAUUAACUCUCUUACUAGAAGAGGUAUCACUAGAAUCAUCAAAAAUAACAUGUAUGGAUUCUUCUAUAACUAGGGUUCUUUUAUUAAAGACUCUAUAGGCUUUACUAGUUGUAGAGUACCCUAAGAAUAUACCCUCAUCAGAUUUAGAGUCAAAUUUUCCUAGAUUAUCUUUUCCAUUAUUAUGAACAAAACACCUAUAUCCAAA